CUUCACACAACAAUUGCUUGACGGCGCCAUCGUCAUCGGCUGAUGCAAUCAUCGAUGCACCGAAUACCGCCAGCAAAUUACCUCGUAUUCUUACGAGAAGAUAUCCCCUUGCUCAAAGUUAUAAAAUGUAUCUAGAAGUGGGAAUCUGCGUGUCUCACUAUUCCUCAAUUCAUCUAAUAUUGGGUAAUAAUGAAGGCACUGUGAAGGUCGUUAUCACUGCAGCAGUGGGAAGACUUUUUUGUGGAGCCUUGGAAGAUUCGGAAUAACUCGCUGAAUUUUCAAUAUUUUGGUCCAAAAAUUUUAUCAUGUAUGUAUUUAUUGUAAAUCCACAAAUAUAUCCUUAAAACAUUU
rnacentral:lncRNA from 1 species